GGUGGUGGCGGUUGUGCUGGUCGAUAGUUAUUGGGGAGGUGGCGGUUGUGCUGGUCGAUACUUAUUGGGGAGGUGGCGGUUGUGCUGGUCGAUACUUAUUGGGGAGGUGGCGGUUGUGCUGGUCGAUACUUAUUGGGGAGGUGGCGGUUGUGCUGGUCAAUACUUAUUGGGGAGGUGGCGGUUGUGCUGGUCGAUACUUAUUGGGGAGGUGGCGGUUGUGCUGGUCGAUACUUUUUGGGGAGGUGGCGAUUGUGCUGGUCUCAUGCUUGCCUGUUUUGCUCUUUGGGCUUAAUUAGUUGUCUGGGUCCUAAUCCUUAUAUUCUGAUACUCUAGGGUGCUUCCUGGGAGUGUUUACUGCAGACUCCUGUAGACCCUUUAACAUUUGGGUAACCUGCAUCUCUA